CAGUAGCCACGGUAAUACAGAGGGUGCGAGCGUUAAUCGGAUUUACUGGGCGUAAAGCGUGCGUAGGCGGCUUCUUAAGUCGGAUGUGAAAUCCCUGAGCUUAACUUAGGAAUUGCAUUCGAUACUGGGAAGCUAGAGUAUGGGAGAGGAUGGUAGAAUUCCAGGUGUAGCGGUGAAAUGCGUAGAGAUCUGGAGGAAUACCGAUGGCGAAGGCAGCCAUCUGGCCUAAUACUGACGCUGAGGUACAAAAGCAUGGGGAGCAAACAGGAUUAGAUACCCCUGUAGUCCCUGUCUCUUAUAC
rnacentral:rRNA from 1 species